UAAGUAAGUGGUGGAAAUUAAACCAAAUGGGAUAUCUUUAGUAAUUGCGAAUGAACAAGGAUAUGCUUAGCUUGACAAAUGGAGCUAUUGGCUUUGAAUUGUAUUUGUGGAAUGUAUUACCAACAGAGGUGCAGGUGCCAGCCUAUUAAAUAAAGCGUCAAUGAGGGUGAGAAUCCUGUUUGUCAUGUGCAGCCCUUUGUGCACGGUGUAUAUUUGCUGAGUCACACUCCUUGGCAUUGGAAUGCAAAGUGGGUGGUAAGUUUCAUGUACAGGUAAACAUGCAAUUGAGACUGAUAGCACACAAGUACCAUGAGGGAAAUAUGAAAAGGACUUUGAAAAGAGAAUUAAAUGAGUUUGUAUUUGCUGAACACAAAGUAAACAGACUUGAUUUGCUUGGUGGGAGUGUUGCACUUGCUUGACAAGAGCUUUGGGCUGUGGGUGUAAUGAUUCUUUCUUUGCAUGCCAGUUUCUAUGUGUACAUCUGAUUACCUUUGCACAUGAAUGAUAAGUCUCCUGUGGGGGGUGGAUUGCAUGUGCAUGUAAUGAUUUGUGUUUUGAUAAAUGUGUCUGGUGUAUGUGUGUGUUCCUGUGCUUGGGGAUGCUUCCUUCCUUGGACUUACAAGCCCUGACACACACAUGCUGGCAAAAUGCUUUUGCUUAACCCG
rnacentral:rRNA from 1 species